GGCAUGGUGGUGCAGUGGGUAUCACUGUCGCCUCACAGCACGAAGGUCGCGAGUUCGAAUCUCAGCUUGGGGCC
rnacentral:tRNA from 1 species